rnacentral:tRNA from 1 species
GGGAGUAUAGCUUGGUUUGUAAAGCACUUGCCUAGCAUGCAAAAGUCCCUGGGUUCAAUCCCAGCACUGCAC